rnacentral:rRNA from 1 species
CAGCCGCCGCGGUAACACCUGCAGCCCAAGUGGUGGUCGAUUUUAUUGAGUCUAAAACGUUCGUAGCCGGUUUGGUAAAUCUUUGGGUAAAUCGGGAAGCUCAACUUUCCGACUUCCGAAGAGACUGUUAAACUUGGGACCGGGAGAGGCUAGAGGUACUUCUGGGGUAGGGGUAAAAUCCUGUAAUCCUAGAAGGACCACCGGAGGCGAAGGCGUCUAGCUAGAACGGAUCCGACGGUGAGGGACGAAGCCCUGGGUCGCAAACGGGAUUAGAUACCCCGGUAGUCCAGGGUGUAAACGCUGCCGACUUGGUGUUGGAGGCCCUUCGGGGGCAUUCUAGUGCCGGAGAGAAGUUGUUAAGUCGGCUACUUGGGGAGUACGUCCGCAAGGAUGAAACUUAAAGGAAUUGGCGG